UGCAACUCCAACUCUAAUUUGUUUGUCCGGGGUUUCGACUCCGAUUAAUAUGGAUAAGUUGCAUUGCAUCAUGUUUGCCAUGCCAUGCAUAUCAUACCAUGAGCAUGCUGAUUCUUUUGCCGUAGUAGUAAGAUGUGCAUCCAUUGGUUGUUGUAGUGCUUUGCUUCUUCACGGAUAGGAUCACGAAGUGGUGUUGUGAGAUACGACGAGUUCUCCGAUUCUUCAGCUUUUCACAGGCGAGCCCUCUCUCUUCACCUAUUAUACACUCUCCCUCGCAUUGCUAUCCUUAUGUUGCGCUUCUUUAUCGAGUCACGUGUCCUAUUCCACUUGUUUACCAUAAUAAUCCUAUAUGUAUCAUUCCUUACCCAUAGCCGUUGCUUGAUGUUUGAGCCUUGCGAGUCGUAGGCGUGUUUAGGCUCUGUUGUUUAUCUCGAUCUGUUAUCGGGAUAUGUUGGGUUGUUGGGAGGUUAUCACAUGCUAUAUCAGUUGUUGGAGAUACACAUGCUUUACUUAAUUGUUAACAACUAAAAUUGUAAGCAGAGGUAUCUGUGAGCCCCUUUGCGAAAGCAUCGGAACUUUGACUUGCUAAUGUCCCCUAGGACCCGAGUUCUUGUUAUCUGUUCCGAGAUUGAGCGCUCUACCCAUGCGUGGGGACGAUUAUUGGGACCCCCCCUCACCCAUUACCUUUUCUCAAGUCAGUUGAAAAGGGGGCCACAACCUUGGUUUUAUUUGGCGCAUGCAUGUUUAUAUAAUGUUGCCUUCGGGUGUUUACUUCCUGUUGCCUUCGGGUGUUUAUAUUCUGUACUGUACCCCGCGGAACGUUUAGCGAAGCGUGUGGUUUGCACGCCUAGCCGUUAACGCAAACCCUGAGUCCGCUUCGGAGUACGGCCGGACUUCGUUACGGGUAGCUUAGUCGGGUGGCCCCCCUAGACUUUCUUGUUGAACUGGGAACGGUCUUGUUGUGAGACAUCCACCUGUCGUAAGUGGGUCGAGCAUGCGUAUGGUUACAUUUGGGCAACCCCUGCAGGGUGUACAUCUUAUCGAUAAGCCGUGUCCGCGGUUAUGGACGACUUGGAAUUGUAUAGCUUGAUCAUAGAACAACUUACACCUUAGACUUAUUGUUAAUAAUCUGAUAAUAACUUGCGUAGUAAUAUAGCAUUACUACAACCGAUACCUAAUAAAACUUGUCCACCGUUGAGUGCCUUUUACAUUGCCUCUUCGCAAUUGUUGGAGGGGAUAUGUGUAAUCGGCUGGGUUAUGUUUGUGUAGUAUUUAUCUGUUACCUUGUGCGCUCUCUUAUCUUAUCUGAUUAGACGGAUGUUGUAGCGUGUCUCUAUUGGUUAUAGUUUUGCUGCCGCUAAACCUACCAUACAGCCCCCGGUGAUAUAUAUAUAUAUUAUACUCGCCCGGCGAGCAUAGCCAUUUCUAGUCUCGCUAAGUACGUGCCGGAGUUCGUUCCUUGGUACUUACUCUCGCCUUUUCCCCUUUCUCUUUUGCUUCCUCCCUCUUGUCGGCAACCGAUGGCCUGACUUUGACAGGUACAAGAUGACGACGUUAGCAAGGUUACCCUUCCGGCUUGGCCUGGGCAGGGUUAUGGACGCCACUGGUUAUCUUCAGGACUCUUAGUCCAAUUUGUAUCUUGUCCGUACUCGGACGUAUCCGAUCUUCUGUAUGAUUUGGAUCUUUGUAUUGUAUAUUUGUAUCUUGACUCGUUGGAGUCGUUGUUGUAAUAUAUGUAUCUUGUGGGCUCUAUUGUAA